UCAACGCCAGCUCGGCGUUCCAAGCCUCGCCGCUGAUGGCGGUGACCGGUCCCGUCGCGGUCGCGGCGCCGACGUUGUU
rnacentral:tRNA from 1 species